UACAGGGGGGGCAAGCGUUGUUCGGAAUUACUGGGCGUAAAGGGCGCGUAGGCGGCCUCGUAAGUCCUGUGUGAAAUCCCCCGGCUCAACUGGGGAACUGCACAGGAAACUGCGAGGCUUGAGUUCGGGAGAGGGAAGCGGAAUUCCGGGUGUAGCGGUGAAAUGCGUAGAUAUCCGGAGGAACACCGGUGGCGAAGGCGGCUUCCUGGACCGACACUGACGCUGAGGCGCGAAAGCCAGGGGAGCAAACGGG
rnacentral:rRNA from 1 species